CAGCGGGAGAGUGGGAAGAAACACAAAAGAAGGCGGCAGGAUCCCAUGUGUUUCUAAUCCAAAGAAUAUCACUGAUUUGAAUUCAUCACCUCUACUGAUUCCCAUUAAUAAAUGUUAAUGGAAUGGGCAAGGAAAUGAUCCGACCUUUUGAAGAUCCAUGGACUGCAAGCAAAUAUGACGAGUAGGGUGGCUCUACCCUUGAUAAUUUCAAAAGGCACAAGCAAUAAGGGGGUUCAUCUGCAUGACACUGGCCCCUGUGGACAGGAACCUGAAUUCACUCUCAAAAGAAGAAGAUUUGCCAACCUUAUGACUAUUCCAAGAAUUGGCUCCAGGCUUUGAAAGUAACACUACAAGAAGAAUUUCAAAAAGAUUUUGUGCAAUUGCUGCAUUGUUGGAAAAGUUCUUGGGUUCCUUUGGUGACUACUUUUAAAGACACAACAUUCACAUGCUUUUAAAACACAUCAGUCACAUCACUUUAUAGAAACACUCUGUACUUGUGCAAAGAAGAACCCAUCUAUGGUUUUUAAAAAUUGGAAUCCAUGAAUGACUGCUGUGCCAAUUAGGACGUAGAGCUUCAACUGAAAAAAUGAACUUCUCUACUGCUAAGCUGGAGCACAGAUAAAUAUGCAAGUAUCCAAAGAGGUACCUGUGUUUAACAAUACAGAGAAAGCACAAGUGCUUAAUUGACAGCUAAUCUUGUCUUCUACAGAACAUUAGAAAUUCUUUCAAUGUUAGAAUUGUAGAAUG
rnacentral:lncRNA from 10 species